rnacentral:lncRNA from 1 species
GGCCGGGCGCGGUGGCUCACGCCUGUAAUCCCAGCACUUUGGGAGGCCGAGGCGGGUGGACCACAAGGUCAGGAGAUCGAGACCAUCCUGGCUAACACGGUGAAACCCCGUCUCUACUAAAAAUAUAAAAAAUUAGCCGGGCGUGGUGGCGGGCGCCUGUAGUCCCAGCUACUCGGGAGGCUGAGGCAGGAGAAUGGCGUGAAGCCGGGAGGCGGAGCUUGCAGUGAGCCGAGAUUGCGCCACUGCACUCCAGCCUGGGUGACAGAACGAGAC